rnacentral:rRNA from 1 species
AAGGCAGCACACUGGGUAAUUACUGACGCUCAGGGACGAAAGCGUGGGGAGCGAACGGGAUUAGAUACCCCGGUAGUCCACGCCGUAAACGAUGGAUACUAGGUGUUGGGAGACUCGACCCUUCCGGUGCCGAUGCUAACGCAUUAAGUAUCCCGCCUGGGAAGUACGGUCGCAAGAUUAAAACUCAAAGGAAUAGACGGGGACCCACACAAGCGGUGGAGCAUGUGGUUUAAUUCGAUGAUAAGCGAGGAACCUUACCCAGACUUGACAUCCCGAGAAUUUUCCAGAAAUGGAAAAGUGCCGCAAGGAACUCGGUGACAGGUGCUGCAUGGUUGUCGUCAGCUCGUGCCUUGAGGUGUUCGGUUAAGUCCGUGAACGAGCGCAACCCUUGUCUUGUGUUGUAUGUUUCACAAGAGACUGCCGACUUUAAGUCGGAGGAAGGUAAGGAUGACGUCAAAUCAGCAUGGCCCUUAUGUCUGGGGCUACACACGUGCUACAAUGGCCAGUACAGAGGGCAGCAAACCCGCAAGGGGGAGCCAAUCCUUAAAACUGGUCCAAGUUCGAAUUGAGGGCUGCAAUUCGCCCUCAUGAAGUUGGAAUCGCUAGUAACCGCGUAUCAGCAAUGACGCGGUGAAUCUGUUCCUGGGUCUUGUACUCACCGCCCGUCACGUCAUGAAAGGUGGGGCACCCGAAGUACCGUUA